GCUGGUUCACCAUUGCUGACCCCGCCAAGGCCAUAGCGCAGUGUGUGGAGAAUCAUCUCAGCCUUCACAAGGAGGAGAAUCCAUUGCAGCUAACCAUGGACAUAAGAAGUAGUCCUACCGAACAGGACAUGGCCCUGAUCUCCUUUAACAAGCCGCCAAAUGUGGAAUGGGGACGACCCCUGAACUGCAGACUUGAAGGAGAUACUGCUAUUGGCCAGGGUGUGACUCGCUUUUUUUUGUCCUCCUGCAUUGAAAAGCUGAAGUCUGGAUUUUCCAUAAAUUUUGCAAAUGCCGAUGUAACACGGCUUUUUGAUGGCGAGCCUGGCCAUUUGGUCCCAUCAGCCUCUCAUUUUCUUGUCGAAAGUGACUUGUUCAUGGUGGCGGGGAGAAUGCUAGGCCACUCUUUCCUUCACGGAGGACCGUCCUUGUCUGGACUCAGCCCUGCUGUUGUUCAUGUACUGCUUGGUGGGAGUCCUGAAACGGCAACUCUAACUUUGGAGGAUUGUCCAGACCUGGACAUCAGAGAAAUAAUAAGGCUUCUCGGAGGAGAAUCCACACUAUCGGAGAAGGAUGCAGCAAGUGUCCAGGAAUUGGCCUACGCCUGGGACCUUCCAUCCAUAACUGAGACCAA